rnacentral:lncRNA from 1 species
AUGGAGAAAGAGUCAAAAGAAUGUUUUAUCUGUCGGGAAGGAGAUGAGAUGGGCCGUGACGCUCUGCUGCACUUCUGUGACUGCAAAAACUUGAUUGCUCACCAGAAAUGUCUUUUAACUUGGAUACAAAAGGGUCCUCAUUAUGAAGGUACUCCAACAUGCAAAGUAUGUACAGCUGAGUACCAACUUGUGGAAACAUCACCUUGGAGAAAUCUGGUCUUGCGAUGGGACAAGUGGGCCAUCUUCUGCACAGUUGCAGCGCUCAUGAUCAGCAUUCCGUUUCUGGUCUAUCAACUCCUAAUCACUUUUAAGGAUCCUCCUCCUGCUCUUGUUUUCCACAUUGCAGCCAUUACCUUUGGAGUGCUCACAGAAAUACUCCUGACCAAAUGCCUGGUAAACUACUGCAGCCGCAACCUUGAAACAGCCAGGAUGUCUUCAUUUUCCAUCAGAGCGAGAACCGUAUAG